rnacentral:misc_RNA from 1 species
UAGGGAGACCUAAUCCAUUUAGAAAUCGAAAGCAGUGAAAAUUGCCUAUAGAAACUAAAUUGGUCUAACCUAGGUCGGUCGAGAUUGGUAGAUAUCUUUCAAAGUAUUAUUCGGCUUAGUUCAAAACUUGAAGCAUCAUAAAUGGAAAAAAGACAGCACCUAACUAUAAAAGUUAGACUGCUGGGUGAGAUUCCAGCCAGAACCUUGAAAACUGCAUAAGAGAACGAGAAAAAGCAGGCAGACACAGACAUUUAGAUGGAUGUGAAAGCAAAGAAAAAUUGU